rnacentral:rRNA from 1 species
AUUGAACGCUGGCGGCAUGCUUUACACAUGCAAGUCGAACGGUAACAGGCCGCAAGGUGCUGACGAGUGGCGAACGGGUGAGUAAUGCAUCGGAACGUGCCCAGUCGUGGGGGAUAACUACUCGAAAGAGUAGCUAAUACCGCAUACGAUCUAUGGAUGAAAGCGGGGGACCGUAAGGCCUCGCGCGAUUGGAGCGGCCGAUGUCAGAUUAGGUAGUUGGUGGGGUAAAGGCUCACCAAGCCAACGAUCUGUAGAUGGUCUGAGAGGACGACCAGCCACACUGGGACUGAGACACGGCCCAGACUCCUACGGGAGGCAGCAGUGGGGAAUUUUGGACAAUGGGCGCAAGCCUGAUCCAGCAAUGCCGCAUGCAGGAAGAAGGCCUUCGGGUUGUAAACUGCUUUUGUACGGAACGAAACGGCUCUGGUUAAUACCCGGGGCUAAUGACGGUACCGUAAGAAUAAGCACCGGCUAACUACGUG